UCUCCGCUAUCUCUGCAUUCCCAAUUUUCGCUCUUUUCAUAGCUACGACUCUAUAAAAAGCCCUUCAUCCCUUCCCUUCCCAUUUUCAUAGCUACGACUUCUUCCCUUCCCUUUCGAUUUGUUGCACGACUUCUUCAUUUCCAUUCCGUUUGUGCUAUUUCCUCCCUUCAGCAUUCGAUCGAGUUCCCUUCUCUUUCCAUCUGAGUAUUUGUGGCAGGUAUUUCAUCUCCCAUCCUUCUAUUCGCUGCCCUAAGUCGUCUUUGUCUUCCCAAAUUUCAUCUCCUUCCAAAAUCACCGGAAACGAUUUAACCUGUAUCGAAAAUCCUGUCCUUAGAACAACUUUUAAUGACCCAGUUCUUCCCCACACAAUCACAAACUCGUAAAUCACAAAACGGCCAGUUGAAUACUUGGAAUCGCUGAUGUGUUUCACUUGAACCAGUUAACCAACAUAAUAGCAAGUUUCAUCUCGACAGAAGCUUGGCCAAGUACCGAUUGAACCAAAGAUAGUUUCGCCGGUUGAUUUGGAAUUCCCUUGACGUCGUAAGACUAAUCCACAACACACCGAUCUUGGAUUAGGCGUCAGAAUGUGUGGUUAGGGAUGAGCGUGAAGUUAGUAAGAAAAGCCUUUGUGACCGAAUAGAUGUUGUUUUCGACAGCGACCAAUGACUCUAUAUUUUGGGUAUUGAAGGCUUGCUAUUGACGAUCCUUUUUAAGCUUUUCCUCUGACAACAAAUAGAAUUUGUGGUUGGGCCCUCUCUACAAAUACUCUCAACAUUGUCUUUCAUAUUUUUCGGUAUCAUCUUUCAAACAAGUAAAUCUCGUAGUCUGUAAACAUAUUGUUGUAUAAACAUAUAUUAUUGUUAAUAAAAUAAGUGUUAUUUUAUAAACAUA